AAGUCGUAACAAGGUUUCCGUAGGUGAACCUGCGGAAGGAUCAUUAACGUGUUCGUUCGGCCGUUCGGGUCGGCCCUGCACCGACGGAGACGUCGUGCUGCGGGCUCCCGGACGCGCCUUCCAAACCAAACCCCUGUGAACCUUUGGGAGGGUCGAGCCUUCGCCGGCGACGCCGUCCCCUUUACAAACUCUUGUAUCUCAUAGAAUGACCGCGGACAUCGUCUGCCUAAACACAUAACAACUUUCAACAACGGAUCUCUUGGUUCUG
rnacentral:misc_RNA from 1 species